UGGAUCCAGACCUUGAUCCUGGCUCAGGAUGAACGCUAGCUACAGGCUUAACACAUGCAAGUCGAGGGGCAGCGGGAUUGAAGCUUGCUUCAAUUGCCGGCGACCGGCGCACGGGUGAGUAACGCGUAUCCAACCUUCCGUACACUCAGGGAUAGCCUUUCGAAAGAAAGAUUAAUACCUGAUGGUAUGAUGAGAUUGCAUGAUAGCAUCAUUAAAGAUUUAUCGGUGUACGAUGGGGAUGCGUUCCAUUAGGUAGUAGGCGGGGUAACGGCCCACCUAGCCAAUGAUGGAUAGGGGUUCUGAGAGGAAGGUCCCCCACAUUGGAACUGAGACACGGUCCAAACUCCUACGGGAGGCAGCAGUGAGGAAUAUUGGUCAAUGGGCGAGAGUCUGAACCAGCCAAGUAGCGUGAAGGAUGAAGGUCCUACGGAUUGUAAACUUCUUUUAUAAGGGAAUAAACCCUCCCACGUGUGGGAGCUUGUAUGUACCUUAUGAAUAAGCAUCGGCUAACUCCGUGCCAGCAGCCGCGGUAAUACGGAGGAUGCGAGCGUUAUCCGGAUUUAUUGGGUUUAAAGGGAGCGCAGACGGGUCGUUAAGUCAGCUGUGAAAGUUUGGGGCUCAACCUUAAAAUUGCAGUUGAUACUGGCGUCCUUGAGUGCGGUUGAGGUGUGCGGAAUUCGUGGUGUAGCGGUGAAAUGCUUAGAUAUCACGAAGAACUCCGAUUGCGAAGGCAGCACACUAAUCCGUAACUGACGUUCAUGCUCGAAAGUGUGGGUAUCAAACAGGAUUAGAUACCCUGGUAGUCCACACGGUAAACGAUGGAUACUCGCUGUUGGCGAUAUACUGUCAGCGGCUUAGCGAAAGCGUUAAGUAUCCCACCUGGGGAGUACGCCGGCAACGGUGCAACUCAAAUGAAUUGACGGA
rnacentral:rRNA from 2 species